CCGAUCGAAGAAGAAUUCAUUUUCUUCUCUUCUCUUCUUCUUUCUUUUUUCCUUUUCUUCUUCUCUGUUCUUCUUCUCCUUCUCUCUGUCGAUCCGAUCUCAGAGAUUUGAGUUCUUUUGUGUGAGAGUUUCAUGGAAACCUUGUUAGUUUGUUGAUCUGGGAAAGAGGGUGAUGAUGCUGCUAUCGAUUGAGUUUUGGAAGAAACAGAAAAAGUUACUCUGUAUUAACAACGAUCGAUUCAAAGGACGAACCAGUAGAUUGUGAAUCUUGAGGUUGGCGAGGCUUGUCUUCAGAACAGUUUUUUCAGUUAUCAGAAGAGAUGGUGCUCGUGAAGAUGUUCGUUUUCUUAACUUAUAUAUUUAACGUUGAUGUGAAUCAUAUGAAUCACUAUAGGCCUGUACACUCUGUAGUAACUCAUAAAUACAUUAUUUUAUUGAUAAAACUUGAGAGAUUCGUCAUUUACAUUUGCUCGAGUGAUGGAUUUAGUUUUGGGUUGAGUUUUGUAUCAGAUUUCUAAUUUGGAAUUUAAUUAUAGAAUUUAGAUUCUUAAUGCCUCAGUAGGUAGUUGAACUCCUGGGUUAGUAAGUAGCUUAAUUUUGGGGCGCUACAAUAACCCUAGAGGAAGUUUCUGGAAACAAGGAAAGUUUUGGAACACUCCAGGAGGCAUGCAGGACCAGUCAUUACAGGAGGCAUGCAUGACCAAUUAUUACAGGAGGCAUGCAGGGCCAGUUAUUGCAGGAGGCAUGCAAGGACAGUUAUUGCAAUUCAUGCCUGCCUCG